GACGAACGCUGGCGGCGUGCCUAAUACAUGCAAGUAGAACGCUGAAGAGAGGAGCUUGCUCUUCUUGGAUGAGUUGCGAACGGGUGAGUAACGCGUAGGUAACCUGCCUUGUAGCGGGGGAUAACUAUUGGAGACGAUAGCUAAUACCGCAUAACAAUGAAUGACUCAUGUCAUUUAUUUGAAAGGGGCAAUUGCUCCACUACAAGAUGGACCUGCGUUGUAUUAGCUAGUAGGUGAGGUAACGGCUCACCUAGGCGACGAUACAUAGCCGACCUGAGAGGGUGAUCGGCCACACUGGGACUGAGACACGGCCCAGACUCCUACGGGAGGCAGCAGUAGGGAAUCUUCGGCAAUGGGGGCAACCCCGACCGAGCAACGCCGCGUGAGUGAAGAAGGUUUUCGGAUCGUAAAGCUCUGUUGUAAGUCAAGAACGAGUGUGAGAGUGGAAAGUUCACACUGUGACGGUAGCUUACCAGAAAGGGACGGCUAACUACGUGCCAGCAGCCGCGGUAAUACGUAGGUCCCGAGCGUUGUCCGGAUUUAUUGGGCGUAAAGCGAGCGCAGGCGGUUUGAUAAGUCUGAAGUUAAAGGCUGUGGCUCAACCAUAGUUCGCUUUGGAAACUGUCAAACUUGAGUGCAGAAGGGGAGAGUGGAAUUCCAUGUGUAGCGGUGAAAUGCGUAGAUAUAUGGAGGAACACCGGUGGCGAAAGCGGCUCUCUGGUCUGUAACUGACGCUGAGGCUCGAAAGCGUGGGGAGCGAACAGGAUUAGAUACCCUGGUAGUUCACGCCGUAAACGAUGAGUGCUAGGUGUUGGAUCCUUUCCGGGAUUCAGUGCCGCAGCUAACGCAUUAAGCACUC
rnacentral:rRNA from 1 species